GCCAUCUGCCAUUUUCUACAAAAAUCAAAACAAAUCCCUAACCCCCAUUCUUUAUCCCUCAUUUGAAAGCCAGGCAUCCUUAGCCUACAAUUGGAAGAAGAAGGUUUUCCCUUUAUUCUCUUUUGGGCUCGGUUUCGGCGAUGGAGAAGGAGACUCCGGCGACGUGACCGUGAGGCGAUUCAGGGAUGGCAGAGAUGGUUGAAGGCAGAAGGUAUGGGCGAUGGUAUGGGACACCUAUCUCGGGCGUUGUGCACGUUGAGGCCAGCACAUGGAGGCAGCAGCGCAAGGGUUAGGGGCUAGGGUUGAUUAUUGAAAAUUUUGAUGGUUUAAUGGGCUAUUAUUUAGGCUAGGGUUUGAUGUAAAUUGGGUUUGGGUAUUUUGGUUUUGGGCUGGGCAUAAUUGGGCCUGUACACAUAUAUUGAGAAGAUGUUUCCCAACCAUGUCAGGCUUGUUAAACGAGAGAGGUUUCAAGAAUUUUUGAGCUUACGUAUUCAUGAUCAAUUGUAUGCAAAUCUUUUCAAUCCCUCAUAUUUUGCAGUGGAUGGGAUAUGGUAUUUGGAAUUCUUAGUUGGAGCUUGAGGAAUGAGAUGAAUAGUAGGAUACUGAAUGAGGCAUUCUUUGCAUGGGAGAACAUCCUUGAAAGAGGAAGUCGAUUGUGGAAUGAGGUGAUCAAAGCAAGGUCAGAUUUGCAAGCAAAACCUGGCAGGGUCGUACUAAGGAAUGGGAGAGA